rnacentral:tRNA from 1 species
GGGGUUGUGGCUCAGUGGGAGAGUACUUGCCUUGUACGUGUGAAGCACUGAGUUCAAUCCUCAGCACCACA